rnacentral:rRNA from 1 species
CCUACGGGUGGCAGCAGUGGGGAAUAUUGCACAAUGGGCGCAAGCCUGAUGCAGCCAUGCCGCGUGUGUGAAGAAGGCCUUCGGGUUGUAAAGCACUUUCAGCGGGGAGGAAGGCGGUGAGGUUAAUAACCUCAUCGAUUGACGUUACCCGCAGAAGAAGCACCGGCUAACUCCGUGCCAGCAGCCGCGGUAAUACGGAGGGUGCAAGCGUUAAUCGGAAUUACUGGGCGUAAAGCGCACGCAGGCGGUCUGUCAAGUCGGAUGUGAAAUCCCCGGGCUCAACCUGGGAACUGCAUUCGAAACUGGCAGGCUAAAGUCUUGUAGAGGGGGGUAGAAUUCCAGGUGUAGCGGUGAAAUGCGUAGAGAUCUGGAGGAAUACCGGUGGCGAAGGCGGCCCCCUGGACAAAGACUGACGCUCAGGUGCGAAAGCGUGGGGAGCAAACAGGAUUAGAUACCCGAGUAGUC